UACGAAGGGGCUAGCGUUGCUCGGAAUCACUGGGCGUAAAGCGCACGUAGGCGGAUUGUUAAGUCAGGGGUGAAUCCUGGAGCUCAACUCCAGAACUGCCUUUGAUACUGGCGAUCUCGAGUCCGGGAGAGGUGAGUGGAACUGCGAGUGUAGAGGUGAAAUUCGUAGAUAUUCGCAAGAACACCAGUGGCGAAGGCGGCUCACUGGCCCGGUACUGACGCUGAGGUGCGAAAGCGUGGGAGCAACAGG
rnacentral:rRNA from 1 species